UGCCAGCAGCCGCGGUAAUACGGAGGGUGCGAACGUUGCUCGGAAUCAUUGGGCGUAAAGCGCACGUAGGCGGCCUAGCAAGUUGGAUGUGAAAGCCCGGAGCUCAACUCCGGAAGUGCAUCCAAAACUGUUGGGCUCGAGUGCCGAAGGGGGCCAGAGAAUUCCCGGUGUAGAGGUGAAAUUCGUAGAUAUCGGGAGGAAUACCAGUGGCGAAGGCGCUGGUCUGGUCGGAUACUGACGCUGAGGUGCGAUAGCGUGGGGAGCAAACAGGAUUAGAUA
rnacentral:rRNA from 1 species